AUUGAACGCUGGCGGCAGGCUUAACACAUGCAAGUCGAGCGGAGAUGAGGUGCUUGCACCUUAUCUUAGCGGCGGACGGGUGAGUAAUGCUUAGGAAUCUGCCUAUUAGUGGGGGACAACAUUCCGAAAGGAAUGCUAAUACCGCAUACGCCCUACGGGGGAAAGCAGGGGAUCUUCGGACCUUGCGCUAAUAGAUGAGCCUAAGUCGGAUUAGCUAGUUGGUGGGGUAAAGGCCUACCAAGGCGACGAUCUGUAGCGGGUCUGAGAGGAUGAACCGCCACACGGGGACUGAGACACGGCCCAGACGCCUACGGGAGGCAGCAGUGGGGAAGAUUGGACAAUGGGCGGAAGCCUGAUCCAGCCAUGCCGCGUGUGUGAAGAAGGCCUUUUGGUUGUAAAGCACUUUAAGCGAGGAGGAGGCUACCUGGAUUAAUACUCUAGGAUAGUGGACGUUACUCGCAGAAUAAGCACCGGCUAACUCUGUGCCAGCCGCCGCGGUAACAC
rnacentral:rRNA from 1 species